AGAGUUUGAUCCUGGCUCAGGACUAACGCUGGCGGCGUGCCUAACACAUGCAAGUCGAGCGGGGUAGCAAUACCCAGCGGCAGACGGGUGAGUAACGCGUGGUCAACCUUCCCGACAGUGGGGGAUAACUAGCCGAAAGGUUAGCUAAUACCGCAUACGAUCUAUGAGAGGCAUCUCUUAUAGAUGAAAGGAGCAAUCCGCUUUCGGACGGGACCGCGUCCCAUUAGCUAGAUGGUGGGGUAAUGGCCUACCAUGGCGACGAUGGGUAGCUGGUUUGAGAGAGCGACCAGCCACACUGGGACUGAGAAACGGCCCAGACUCCUACGGGAGGCAGCAGUGAGGAAUUUUCCGCAAUGGGCGAAAGCCUGACGGAGCGACGCCGCGUGUGGGAAGAAGGCCUUCGGGUCGUAAACCACUGUCGAAGGGGACGAUAAUGACGGUACCCUUGGAGGAAGCCCCGGCUAACUACGUGCCAGCCGCCGCGGUAAUAC
rnacentral:rRNA from 1 species